AUAGUUUAAGGUAGGAUAGGAAUGGUUAAGGUAAGAUAGGAUAGGAUGUUGUAGGAUAAGAAUGUGUAGGAUAGGAAAAGAUAGGAUAGGAACGGCUGAGAUAUAAUAGAAUAGGAUAAGGUAGGAUAGGAAUGCCAAUUGUAAGAUAGAAUAGGAUGUGGUAGGAUUAGAAUCGGUAAGAUAGGAUGGAAUAGAAUAAGGUAGCUUAGGAACGGCUAAGAUAUGAUAGAAUAUGCUGGUUAGGAAAGAGUAAUUUAAGAUAGAAUAGUUUAAGGUAGGAUUAGAAUGACUAGGGCAAGAUAGAAUAGGAUGUGGUAGGAUAAGAAUGUGUAAGAUAGGAUAAGGUAGGUUAGGAACGGCUAAGGUAUGAUAUAAUCGGAUAAGAUAGGAACGGCUAAGAUAGCAUUUGGUAGGAUAGCAACGGGUAAGGUAAGAUAGAGUAGGAUGUGGUAGGAUAAGAAUAGCUAAGAUAUGAUAAUAUAGGAUAAGGUAGUAUAGGAACGGUUAAGAUAUGAGGGAAUAAGCUGGUUUGGAACGGCUAAUAUAAGAUAGAAUAAGAUAAGGUAGGAUAAAAAUGGCUAAGGUAUGAUAGAAUAGGAUGUGGUAGCAUAUGAACGGCUAAGAUAUUAUAGGAUAGGAUAAGGUAGGAUAGGAAUGGAUAAAGGUAAGAUAGAAUAGGACAAGGUAGCAUAGGAAUGGCUAUGAUAUGAUAGAAUAAGCUGGUUAGGAAAGAGUAAUAUAAAUAGAAUAGGAUAAGGUAGGAUAGGAAUGGUUAAGGUAAGAUAGGAUAGGAUGUGGUAGGAUAAGAAUGUGUAGGAUAGGAUAAGAUAGGAUAGGAACGGCUAAGAUAUAAUAGAAUAGGAUAAGGUAGGAUAGGAAUGCCAAUUUUAAGAUAGAAUAGGAUGUGGUAGGAUUAGAAAGGGUAAGAUCGGAUGGAAUAGAAUAAGGUAGCAUAUGAACGGCUAAGAUAUGAUAGAAUAAGCUGGUUAGGAAAGAGUAAUAUGAGAUAGAAUAGGAUAAGGUAGGAUUGGAAUGGCUAAUAUAAGAUAGAAUAAGAUAAGGUAGGAUAAAAAUGGCUAAGGUAUGAUAGAAUAGGCCAAGAUAGGAUAGGAAAGGUUAAGGUAAGAUAGGAUAGGAUGUGGUAGGAUAAGAAUGGGUAAGAUAGGAUGGAAUAGGAUAAGGUAGGAAAGGAACGGGUAAGAUAUGAUAGUAUAGGCUAAGGUAGGAUAGAAAUGGUUAAGGUAAGAUAGAAUAGGAUGUGGUAGCAUAGGAACGGCUAAGAUAUGAUAGAAUAAGCUGGUUAGGAAAGAGUAAUAUGAGAUAGAAUAGUAUAACGUGGGAUUGGAAUGACUAGGUCAAGAUAGAAUAGGAUGUGGUAGGUUAAGAAUGUGUAAGAUAGGAUAAGGUAGGUUAGGAAUGGCUAAGGUAUGAUAUAAUGGGAUUAGAUAGGAACGGCUAAGAUAGCAUUUGGUAGGAUAGCAACGGGUAAGGUAAGAUAGAGUAGGUUGUGGUAGGAUAAGAAUGGCUAAGAUAUGAUAAUAUAGGAUAAGGUAGUAUAGGAACGGCUAAGAUAUGAGGGAAUAAGCUGGUUUGGAAUGGCUAAUAUAAGACAGAAUAAGAUAAGGUAGGAUAGGAAUGGCUAAGGUAUGAUAGAAUAGGAUGUGGUAGCAUAUGAACGGCUAAGAUAUUACAGGAUAGGACAAGGUAGGAUAGGAAUGGAUAAAGGUAAGAUAGAAUAGGACAAGGUAGCAUAGGAAUGGCUAUGAUAUGAUAGAAUAAGCUGGUUAGGAAAGAGUAAUAUAAAUAGAAUAGGAUAAGGUAGGAUAGGAAUGGUUAAGGUAAGAUAGGAUAGGAUGUGGUAGGAUAAGAAUGUGUAGGAUAGGAUAAGAUAGGAUAGGAACGGCUAAGAUAUAAUAGAAUAGGAUAAGGUAGGAUAGGAAUGCCAAUUGUAAGAUAGAAUAGGAUGUGGUAGGAUUAGAAUGGGUAAGAUAGGAUGGAAUAGGGUGAGGUAGGAAAGGAACGUGUAAGAUAUGGUAGAAUAUGCUAAGGUAGGAUAGGAAUGGUUAAGGUAAGAUAGGAUAGGAUGAGGUAGUAUAAGAAUGUGUAGGAUAGGAUAAGAUAGGAUAGGAACGGCUAAGAUAUAAAAGAAUAGGAUAAGGUAGGAUAGGAAUGCCAGUUGUAAGAUAGAAUAGCAUGUGGUAGGAUUAGAAAGGGUAAGAUCGGAUGGAAUAGAAUAAGGUAGCAUAUGAACGGCUAAGAUAUGAUAGAAUAGAAUAAGGUAGGAUAGCAAUGGCUAAAGGUAAGAUAGAAUUGGAUAAGGUAGCAUAGGAACGGCUAAGAUAUGAUAGAAUAAGCUGGUUUGGAAUGGCUAAUAUAAGACAGAAUAAGAUAAGGUAGGAUAGGAAUGGCUUAAGGUAUGAUAGAAUAGCAUGUGGUAACAUAUGAACGGCUAAGAUAGUACAGGAUAGGACAAGGUAGGAUAGGAAUGGAUAAACGUAAGAUAGAAUAGGAGAAGGUAGCAUAGGAAUGGCUAAGGUAAGAUAGAAUAGGAUAAGGUAGCAUAGGAACGGCUAAGAUAUGAUAGAAUAAGCUGGUUAGGAAAGAGUAAUAUGAGAUAGAAUAGUAUAAGGUAGGAUUGGAAUGACUAGGGCAAGAUAGAAUAGGAUGUGGUAGGAUAAGAAUGUGUAAGAUAGGAUAAGGUAGGUUAGGAACGGCUAAGGUAUGAUAUAAUCGGAUUAGAUAGGAACGGCUAAGAUAGCAUUAGGUACGAUAGCAACGGGUAAGCUAACAUAGAAUAGUAUUUGCUAGGAUGAAAAUGGCAAAGACAUGAUAGGAUAAGGUAGUAUAGGAAUGGCUAAUAUGAGAUAGAAUAAGAUAAGGUAGGAUAAAAAUGGCUAAGGUAUGAUAGAAUAGGCCAAGAUAGGAUAGGAAUGGCUAAGGUAAGAUAGAAUAGGAUGUGGUAGGAUUAGAAUGGGUAAGGUAGGAUGGAAUAGAAUAAGGUAGCAUAUGAAUAGCUAAGAUAUGAUAGAAUAGAAUAAGGUAGGAUAGCAAUGGGUAAGCUAAGAUAGAAUAGGAUGUGGUAGGAUGAAAAUGGCAAAGAUAUGAUAGGAUAAGGUAGUAUAGGAACGGCUAAUAUAAGAUAGAAUAAGAUAAGGUAGGAUAAAAAUGGCUAAGGUAUUAUAGAAUAGGCCAAGAUAGGAUAGGAAUGGCUAAGGGAUAAUAGAAUAGUUUAAGGUAGGAUAGGAAUGGUUAAGGUAAGAUAGGAUAGGAUGUUGUAGGAUAAGAAUGUGUAGGAUAGGAAAAGAUAGGAUAGGAACGGCUGAGAUAUAAUAGAAUAGGAUAAGGUAGGAUAGGAAUGCCAAUUGUAAGAUAGAAUAGGAUGUGGUAGGAUUAGAAUCGGUAAGAUAGGAUGGAAUAGAAUAAGGUAGCUUAGGAACGGCUAAGAUAUGAUAGAAUAUGCUGGUUAGGAAAGAGUAAUUUAAGAUAGAAUAGUUUAAGGUAGGAUUGGAAUGACUAGGGCAAGAUAGAAUAGGAUGUGGUAGGAUAAGAAUGUGUAAGAUAGGAUAAGGUAGGUUAGGAACGGCUAAGGUAUGAUAUAAUCGGAUAAGAUAGGAACGGCUAAGAUAGCAUUUGGUAGGAUAGCAACGGGUAAGGUAAGAUAGAGUAGGAUGUGGUAGGAUAAGAAUAGCUAAGAUAUGAUAAUAUAGGAUAAGGUAGUAUAGGAACGGUUAAGAUAUGAGGGAAUAAGCUGGUUUGGAACGGCUAAUAUAAGACAGAAUAAGAUAAGGUAGGAUAAAAAUGGCUAAGGUAUGAUAGAAUAGGAUGUGGUAGCAUAUGAACGGCUAAGAUAUUAUAGGAUAGGAUAAGGUAGGAUAGGAAUGGAUAAAGGUAAGAUAGAAUAGGACAAGGUAGCAUAGGAAUGGCUAUGAUAUGAUAGAAUAAGCUGGUUAGGAAAGAGUAAUAUGAAUAGAAUAGGAUAAGGUAGGAUAGGAAUGGUUAAGGUAAGAUAGGAUAGGAUGUGGUAGGAUAAGAAUGUGUAGGAUAGGAUAAGAUAGGAUAGGAACGGCUAAGAUAUAAUAGAAAAGGAUAAGGUAGGAUAGGAAUGCCAAUUGUAAGAUAGAAUAGGAUGUGGUAGGAUUAGAAAGGGUAAGAUCGUAUGGAAUAGAAUAAGGUAGCAUAUGAACGGCUAAGAUAUGAUAGAAUAAGCUGGUUAGGAAAGAGUAAUAUGAGAUAGAAUAGGAUAAGGUAGGAUUGGAAUGGCUAAUAUAAGAUAGAAUAAGAUAAGGUAGGAUAAAAAUGGUUAAGGUAUGAUAGAAUAGGAUAAGGUAGGAUAGGAAUGGUUAAGGUAAGAUAGGAUAGGAUGUGUGUAAGAUAAGAAUGUGUAGGAUAGGAUAAGAUAGGAUAGGAACGGCUAAGAUAUAAUAGAAUAGGAUAAGGUAGGAUAGGAAUGGUUAAGGUAAGAUAGGAUAGGAUGUGGUAGGAUAAGAAUGUGUAGGAUAGGAUAAGAUAGGAUAGGAACGGCUAAGAUAUAAUAGAAUAGGAUAAGGUAUGAUAGGAAUGCCAAUUGUAAGAUUGAAUAGGAUGUGGUAGGAUUAGAAUGGGUAAGAUAGGAUGGAAUAGGAUGAGGUAGGAAAGGAACGUGUAAGAUAUGGUAGAAUAUGCUAAGGUAGGAUAGGAAUGGUUAAGGUAAGAUAGGAUAGGAUGAGGUAGUAUAAGAAUGUGUAGGAUAGGAUAAGAUAGGAUAGGAACGGCUAAGAUAUAAAAGAAUAGGAUAAGGUAGGAUAGGAAUGCCAGUUGUAAGAUAGAAUAGCAUGUGGUAGGAUUAGAAAGGGUAAGAUCGGAUGGAAUAGAAUAAGGUAGCAUAUGAACGGCUAAGAUAUGAUAGAAUAGAAUAAGGUAGGAUAGCAAUGGCUAAAGGUAAGAUAGAAUUGGAUAAGGUAGCAUAGGAACGGCUAAGAUAUGAUAGAAUAAGCUGGUUUGGAAUGGCUAAUAUAAGACAGAAUAAGAUAAGGUAGGAUAGGAAUGGCUUAAGGUAUGAUAGAAUAGCAUGUGGUAACAUAUGAACGGCUAAGAUAGUACAGGAUAGGACAAGGUAGGAUAGGAAUGGAUAAACGUAAGAUAGAAUAGGAGAAGGUAGCAUAGGAAUGGCUAAGGUAAGAUAGAAUAGGAUAAGGUAGCAUAGGAACGGCUAAGAUAUGAUAGAAUAAGCUGGUUAGGAAAGAGUAAUAUGAGAUAGAAUAGUAUAAGGUAGGAUUGGAAUGACUAGGGCAAGAUAGAAUAGGAUGUGGUAGGAUAAGAAUGUGUAAGAUAGGAUGGAAUAGAAAAAGUUAGCAUAUGAACUGAAGUUGAUGAUGUGCAUUACUACUAAUCCUGCUGACCUUUCUCUCCUGCAGACAGGGGCAACGCCGGAGGAAAAAGGACACUGGAAACGGAAAGCUGGAGUGUUGGGGAGUGAUGGGGACUGGAGGGAACAAACAACUAACCUUCCUUUCCUCCCAAAGUCUGCCUUUCCAGGACUGGCAAAGGUGGCCCAUGGAUUGGACCAUGCCUCACGCGAUGCAAUGGUUCAGUUGGUCCAGAGACACUGGGCCGCCCCUUCAUUCACGGCUUAUGCUCAAACUUUCGUUUCCAGGUGUUCCACAUGAAUGACUCACAACAUGGGUCGUGCAUUGAAGCCACCAACUGCCACAACUCCUCCAGCUGAGGGUCCUUUCCAACAUUUGCAGAUGGAUUUCAUAGAACUAACACCCUGUAGAGGUUAUCGUUAUUGUCUGGUGGUUGUUGAUCUCUUUUCCAGAUGGGUGGAAGCCUUCCCGGCCAAGCAAGCAACGGCCCAGAUAGUUGCGAAAAAUCUGUUAAAAGAGAUAACCCCACGAUGGGGUGUUCCAGCCCGCAUUACCACUGACAAUGCUACACAUUUCUCUAAUCAGGUGGUCCACAAGCUCUCUGAGUGGUUCCAAACCGACCUUCGACACUACUGCGCUUAUCACCCGCAGAGUGGAGGGAUUGUUGAAAGAGCAAACCAGACACUGAUAGAAAAUUCUUGAUUAUGCUAAUCAGUGAUCAAUAAUGAAAUAUAGAUGUUAUGCAAAAUGCAUUACCUAAUCAGUAAUUAACAAUUAAGUUUAUAAUUGUGUUGUUGAUUUACACAUAGUGGUUGAAACAAUGUAAUUUACUUGUCAUUAAUUGUUUGAAUGUAUCAAACAAUAAUGCAAAUCUGCAGAGAUCAAAGGGGCUCCACUCCAACAACUGCUGCAAACGCCGCGGCUCCCUGAGUGCCAUCACCCGUCAGCUCAUCAGUCUCUGCAACCAACUGCCAAGACCCCCCCCCCACUCUGCAAACAAGUAAACCAACUUCCUUUUAUUCUAACAACCUAAGCUGUUUUUAACCUGCUAUAUGACGUUAGGGUCGUGUUCACACAAACUGUGCUUGCUUUGCAGAACAGUAUUUCCCUUUUAAGGUUACUCAUUUAAAUCUGGUCAUUGCAUUUCCAUAAUUACACUGUUUGUUUCUAUUCCGUUAUUUCGUGUUUGUUGUUA